rnacentral:rRNA from 1 species
UCCUUAGUUACCAGCACGUUAUGGUGGGCACUCUAAGGAGACUGCCGGUGACAAACCGGAGGAAGGUGGGGAUGACGUCAAGUCAUCAUGGCCCUUACGGCCUGGGCUACACACGUGCUACAAUGGUCGGUACAAAGGGUUGCCAAGCCGCGAGGUGGAGCUAAUCCCAUAAAACCGAUCGUAGUCCGGAUCGCAGUCUGCAACUCGACUGCGUGAAGUCGGAAUCGCUAGUAAUCGUGAAUCAGAAUGUCACGGUGAAUACGUUCCCGGGCCUU